rnacentral:rRNA from 1 species
AUUGAACGCUGGCGGCAUGCUUUACACAUGCAAGUCGAACGGUAACAGCACUUCGGUGGCUGACGAGUGGCGAACGGGUGAGUAAUGUAUCGGAACGUGCCCAGUAGUGGGGGAUAACUACUCGAAAGAGUGGCUAAUACCGCAUGAGAUCUCUGGAUGAAAGCGGGGGACCGUAAGGCCUCGCGCUACUGGAGCGGCCGAUAUCAGAUUAGGUAGUUGGUAGGGUAAGAGCCUACCAAGCCAACGAUCUGUAGCUGGUCUGAGAGGACGACCAGCCACACUGGGACUGAGACACGGCCCAGACUCCUACGGGAGGCAGCAGUGGGGAAUUUUGGACAAUGGGCGCAAGCCUGAUCCAGCAAUGCCGCGUGCAGGACGAAGGCCUUCGGGUUGUAACUGCUUUGUACGGAACGAAAGACUUCUGGAUAAUACCUGGAGUCAUGACGGUACCGUAACGAAUAAGCACCGGCUAACUACGUGCCAGCA